rnacentral:rRNA from 1 species
CUGGCGGCGUGCCUAAUACAUGCAAGUCGAACGGUCUUUCUAUGGAAGCUUGCUUCCACUGAGAAGAUAGUGGCGAACGGGUGAGUAACACGUGGGUAACCUGCCCAUAAGAGGGGGGAUAACAUCCGGAAACGGGUGCUAAUACCGCAUAGUUUUUCUUGAUCGCAUGAUCGGGAAAGGAAAGACGGCCUUUGUGCUGUCGCUUAUGGAUGGACCCGCGGCGUAUUAGUUAGUUGGUGAGGUAACGGCUCACCAAGACGAUGAUACGUAGCCGACCUGAGAGGGUGAUCGGCCACAUUGGGACUGAGACACGGCCCAAACUCCUACGGGAGGCAGCAGUAGGGAAUCUUCCGCAAUGGACGAAAGUCUGACGGAGCAACGCCGCGUGAGUGGAGAAGGUUUUCGGGAAUCGUAAAACUCUGUUGUCAGAGAAGAACAAGUUGGAGAGUAACUGCUCCAGCCUUGACGGUAUCUGACCAGAAAGCCACGGCUAACUACGUGCCAGCAGCUGC